UACGGGGGGGGCAAGCGUUGUUCGGAAUUACUGGGCGUAAAGGGCUCGUAGGCGGCCAACUAAGUCAGACGUGAAAUCCCUCGGCUUAACCGGGGAACUGCGUCUGAUACUGGAUGGCUUGAGAUUGGGAGAGGGAUGCGGAAUUCCAGGUGUAGCGGUGAAAUGCGUAGAUAUCUGGAGGAACACCGGUGGCGAAGGCGGCAUCCUGGACCGAGAUUGACGCUGAACAGCGAAGGCCAGGGGAGCAAACGGG
rnacentral:rRNA from 1 species